GUGAAAUUGUUGAAAGGGAAACGAUUGAAGUCAGUCAUGCUGGUGAGAAAUCAGUCCAAUAAGUGUUGGAUACGGGAAUUGAGGUAGGGUCAAACCACCUCUCUUUUGAACUUGGGGCUUGUUUGGUGCACUUUCUUUUUGGCAGGUCAACAUCGAUUUGGGGGUUGUAAAAUAAUUGGGGAAUGUGAUUCCUUUCGGGGAGUAUUAUAGACCCUGGAGGAUGCAGCCUGUGGGAUCGAGGAUUGCAACAAAUGCUUAUGCUUGUCACCUUUUCGCUGAUCGGUACUCCACUUGUGAUAAUAUUUUUUGACACUUUGUGAGGUUUUGACGGUUAUAGGUUAAAACGAUCUAAAAUUUGCUAAGGAUAUUGACGUAAUGGCUUUAAACGAC
rnacentral:rRNA from 1 species